rnacentral:rRNA from 2 species
CGCCGCGUGAGUGAUGAAGGUUUUCGGAUCGUAAAGCUCUGUUGUUAGGGAAGAACAAGUGCGAGAGUAACUGCUCGCACCUUGACGGUACCUAACCAGAAAGCCACGGCUAACUACGUGCCAGCAGCCGCGGUAAUACGUAGGUGGCAAGCGUUGUCCGGAAUUAUUGGGCGUAAAGGGCUCGCAGGCGGUUUCUUAAGUCUGAUGUGAAAGCCCCCGGCUCAACCGGGGAGGGUCAUUGGAAACUGGGAAACUUGAGUGCAGAAGAGGAGAGUGGAAUUCCACGUGUAGCGGUGAAAUGCGUAGAGAUGUGGAGGAACACCAGUGGCGAAGGCGACUCUCUGGUCUGUAACUGACGCUGAGGAGCGAAAGCGUGGGGAGCGAACAGGAUUAGAUACCCUGGUAGUCCACGCCGUAAACGAUGAGUGCUAAGUGUUAGGGGGUUUCCGCCCCUUAGUGCUGCAGCUAACGCAUUAAGCACUCCGCCUGGGGAGUACGGUCGCAAGACUGAAACUCAAAGGAAUUGACGGGGGCCCGCACAAGCGGUGGAGCAUGUGGUUUAAUUCGAAGCAACGCGAAGAACCUUACCAGGUCUUGACAUCCUCUGACAACCCUAGAGAUAGGGCUUUCCCUUCGGGGACAGAGUGACAGGUGGUGCAUGGUUGUCGUCAGCUCGUGUCGUGAGAUGUUGGGUUAAGUCCCGCAACGAGCGCAACCCUUGAUCUUAGUUGCCAGCAUUUAGUUGGGCACUCUAAAG